CGGGUUUCGUAAGCAGCGGGCUGUUAAACUGUUAAAACGAGUUCGUUGUCGACGAAACCUGCA
rnacentral:pre_miRNA from 1 species